GACGAACGCUGGCGGCGUGCCUAAUACAUGCAAGUGGAACGCAUUGGUAACACCGGACUUGCUCCAGUGUUACUAAUGAGUCGCGAACGGGUGAGUAACGCGUAGGUAACCUGCCUGAUAGCGGGGGAUAACUAUUGGAAACGAUAGCUAAUACCGCAUAAGAGGAGUUAACUCAUGUUAACUGUUUAAAAGAAGCAACGGCUCCACUAUCAGAUGGACCUGCGUUGUAUUAGCUAGUAGGUAGGGUAACGGCCUACCUAGGCAACGAUACAUAGCCGACCUGAGAGGGUGAACGGCCACACUGGGACUGAGACACGGCCCAGACUCCUACGGGAGGCAGCAGUAGGGAAUCUUCGGCAAUGGACGCAAGUCUGACCGAGCAACGCCGCGUGAGUGAAGACGGUUUUCGGAUCGUAAAGCUCUGUUGUAGGGGAAGAACGUGUGUAAGAGUGGAAAGCUUACACAAUGACGGACCCUACCAG
rnacentral:rRNA from 1 species